AGCGGAGUAGGACAGUCUGGAGUGUCUGCCGGGCUCAUAACCCGGAGGUCAGAGGUUCAAAUCCUCUCUCCGCUA
rnacentral:tRNA from 1 species